rnacentral:tRNA from 1 species
GCAUAAGUAGCUCAGCGUCAGAGCGCCGGUCUUGUAAGCCGGACGUCGGAGGCUAAAAUCCUCCCUUUUGCU